GAGGGUGUAGCUCAGUGGUGGAGUGCCUUCUUAGCAUGCACGAGGUCCUGGGUUCAAUCCUCAGUACCUCCA
rnacentral:tRNA from 1 species